UGAAUACCAUUCUUUGCCCCACCCUCUGAAUUGUCCAUUCAAAGCAGGGUAGGAAUGCUGAAAGAUUUCUAUUUCAUUUUUGCCUUCAUUUUUUCAUCCUAGUCCUUUUUGUACUUUCAACUAUAGCCCACACAUUCACUCCCUUCUCCAUUUCCAAAGCCCUAAACACCAUUGCUCCUCACCAACUUCUUUAAUCAUUCCCAACAACCAAAUCUUUAAUCCUUCCAACUCUAAUUCAAUAUCAUCAAUUUUUUGUUUUAUAACUUCCCUUGUAGGCUUCAAUUUUCUGUUACUAAGAAAUUACAGAAUUGUGUUGGUCUAAUGGCGAACAUUUGUAUUAUGUUGUUUCCGUUGAGGUGAUUUGGUUGUUUUUAUUGCUUGAAUUAUAUUAGUAAUAGCUAAUUUGAUUGUAGACUAUCUCCUUAUUAAUGAGAAUUUUAUAUUUAGUGUGGAUGGUCAUAUAUGUGCCGCAUGCAUAUAUGUGCUUGACACAGAUAUCUAUUCUGUGAAA